AGAUGGUGACAGUUCGUAAUACUCAUGAUCCCGGCAAAUGUUCAAAAUCAAGUCAUGGUGAACUGAUAUUAGUUAAAGAUCGGGAGAACAGGGACACCGUAUUAAUUUGUACCGAAGAUAAUGGGGUCUACAGGUGGAAGACAACCGACAGUGAGUAUAAUUACUUUUUGCUUGACCAAAUCUUCAAUUCCUGCUAAGUGUAUUUGACAAUGUUGGGUCACAUUUUGGCUAAUUCUGAAUUGAAGGAACUUAGCUAUUUCUGCAUUGAAUGAAUUUCAGAUUCCAAACCUUCUGGGGAAUAUUUCGAUCCGGGCUAUGACUGUCUGGAUAUACUGAACAAGAACACGAAAGCAAAGGAUGGAUAUUACUGGGUGAACUUCCAUCGAGGUAAACCAAAAAAGGUA
rnacentral:lncRNA from 1 species